GUUAAUUAAGCCUCAUUGUCCUGUAAUUUACUUAAACCCACAAGCAAAUUAUUUAAGGAUCAUUCUCAUAUUUCAUAAGGCCAGUAUCAAUCCACUGGAAAAAAGAGAGGCUUUGUGAUUGAUGCUUUCCAAAACCAAAAUAACAUUUAUAUAAUCAGGCAUAGCUAAUUCUAACAAUGUGAAUGGAAAUAUCAACUGAAUUAUUUUAAGGACAACAUAUCCGUGUGUAUAUCACUAAAAUGGUUUGAAACAAAAAGAAAUCUGUUAUACUUGUUCUGUUGCUGUUAGCAAAUAGAAACAUGUCUUAGAAUUUUAAGGAAAUUUUAAAGUAUCCUUGAAGUUGUCAUCAGUUUUUCAACAUUCGAUAUGUCUUUUUAGAAAAUAGUUUUUUUCUGCUUUCUCACAUACAUGUCUUCCAAAGCUGUCGUUAUAAUUUUGCAAACUUGUACUUAAAUGACUAGAAAGGAUCCCAUGCUACUGAUUAACUACAUAGAAGCUUUAAUUUGUAUCUUACAUUAUACACUGAAUAAAAGUAACACAAAUAAGAUGGUUUUUCAUUUCAUUUCACAGUAUACUUGUGUUAUAAUUAGGCAAAGUUCAAAGUUUAGUUGUUAACACCCCUGACUUUUUCAUUUUAAUUUUUAAAUCCCAUAAUCUUAUAAUGCUUCUAUUUUAAAGCAGGAGAAAUCUCUCUAAACUGGACAGCUCUUACAAUUUAAUACACAUGACUUAAGAAAAUCAUUUACUUCUUAAGUUGUGAAAGUCAUUUGUAAUUUCCAAUUGCACUACUCGGAUCAUUAACAGAUAAUGAUACAUAAACACACAUUGUGUACUUUCCAAACACUUGAACCAGUUUAUUUUUUCAUUAGUAAAAUGCCAACGUG
rnacentral:lncRNA from 1 species